GACCCAGAUAGCAAGCAGACGUUGAUUCAACAUUGAUUUUUGGUUGUAAAGGUCAGUAUCGGUCGUCGAUCAAAUUUCGAUGUUGAAUCAACGUUCACUAUUUGGUCGGAACAUCAGAACGUUAUUUCGUGGAAAAUAAAACAUCGAUUCAACGUCGAAAUCACAUUGACUCAUCAACCGACACAGCCGACGAAUCUGAUCUAAAUCAUAACGUCUGAUAUAAGUUGAAACUUGAUCAGAGGAAUCAGAGAUCUGCGCUUGCACUCUCACACAGAGAAAAAGGCCUAUGUAAAUUCCGCGUGCUUUAAUGAGCGCGCGCUGAACAUUGGAGUAGCGUUCAUUCAGAUUCAAACACUGGAGCGGAGGGAGUUGCCAUGGAAACGGGGCGACCGACAACACUGGCAAGCUGCAAGCUCCGUUUCUUGCUGCUGUUUUCACUGCUUUCGAGUCUGCUAAGCUAUAAAGGAGGUGUUCCGGACUCACUGCUCUCCUACAGGAUGACAGCUGGUGAGGAGCCGGCCUCUCCAAUGAGGAAACCAGCAACAUGCAAGAGAACGGCGGAGCCCGAAGCAGCCCCCAAGAUCCUUUGCAUCACUCCUCGGGCCAAUCAUCUCUGUUUGAGGAUGUCCCAUUCUAACUGACAGUGUCCUCAAUGGCGGGACCCCUGAGGGGGGAGAGGGAGGUACAAGGAGGUGAAAGGACGUGCCAAGGUCAAAUGUCCUAGGGGUCAAAGUUACUGGAUAAUUCAGUGGGAACAUGAAUGGCGUUGACAGGUGUUUACUGAUUAUAAAAAAGCCAGUUAACUGAUGUGUAAAAGGUUUUUUAUACUGUUGAAUUUUGUCUCGCCUCUUUUCUUUCUGUUCUAGCAGCUCCACAAGCACAGCCUAAAACAGCCCUAAAAAAAGCAUCUAUUCUGAGGCAUUUGCCUCGACGUUAGUCAGACUAUUGACGCUUUCCUGUUUGAUGUCUCUCCCAGCAGUAACAUCAAACAAUCAACAAGCAAAACCUCUCUCAGCGAUGACCGAGCAUAAGAAGUAUUUGUUUCAUUUUUCCGAGGCACUGAAGUGCUAAACGUGUUUAAAGAAACCACCACAAUGUGGCUUCCCAGG
ensembl:lncRNA